rnacentral:rRNA from 1 species
UACGUAGGGGGCAAGCGUUGUCCGGAAUUAUUGGGCGUAAAGAGCGCGUAGGCGGUCCGAUAAGUCGGCUGUGAAAGCCAAGGGCUCAACCCUUGAAAGCCGGCCGAUACUGUCGGACUAGAGUCCGGAAGAGGCGAGUGGAAUUCCCGGUGUAGCGGUGAAAUGCGCAGAUAUCGGGAGGAACACCAAUGGCGAAGGCAGCUCGCUGGGACGGUACUGACGCUGAGGCGCGAAAGCUAGGGGAGCAAACAGG